CCAAAGAUUAUGAUAAGGAAUAGUAAUAAAGAUUCUAUUACUAGAGAGUUAACGGUUGGUGGAAGUUAACAUAGAACUUUUAUGAACUCGCCUUUGAAUCGGAACCUGAAUGGAGUAAGGUUACCCGUAUGCCUGCGUUAAAGGUUUGAAGUGAGUGCUGAUUCUAGCACUAAGCCGGGUGGUACCGCGGGUGAUUAUGAAUUUUAGAUUCAGAACCUCUCGUCCCUGUU
rnacentral:ncRNA from 1 species